AUAACAAUAUGCCUGUAACUGGUGCCAGAGAUGCAGAUGUUAUGGGUCGGAGGUCUGUCAGAUGAACAGGCUGCUAAGGCUCACUGGACAGCUGAGUGGUCCCAGCACUAAAUCGGUUCAUCAACAAGCUGACUGUGUGCCACUUUGAGCGUAAGCCAGCGUCUUGGUGACCUCGCUUUAUCAUUUUAGUGCAGCGUCUCCAUCAGCCUCAGUGAGGUUGUGUAGUGGGCACAAAGUCAUUUUUUUUUUUUGUUUCAUAUCUAUGCAAAUAAUAUCCUUCCUACUAAAUGAAAUAACUUUCACUUUUAUUACUCA